UAUCCGUAGGUGAACCUGCGGAGGGAUCAUUACAGAGUUCUCGCCCUCACGGGUAGAUCUCCCACCCACUGUUAUCGUUACUGUCGUUUCUUUGGCGGGCCGCCGGGUCCCCGGCCGCCGGCGCCUAGCUGCCGGCGCGCGCCCGCCAGAGGCCUCCAAACUCUGAAUGUUAGUGUCGUCUGAGUACUAUAUAAUAGUUAAAACUUUCAACAACGGAUCUCUUGGUUCUG
rnacentral:misc_RNA from 1 species